rnacentral:rRNA from 1 species
UACGGGGGGGGCAAGCGUUGUUCGGAAUUACUGGGCGUAAAGGGCUCGUAGGCGGCCAACUAAGUCGGAUGUGAAAUCCCCAGGCUUAACCUGGGAACUGCAUCCGAUACUGGAUGGCUUGAGUUUGGGAGAGGGAUGCGGAAUUCCAGGUGUAGCGGUGAAAUGCGUAGAUAUCUGGAGGAACACCGGUGGCGAAGGCGGCAUCCUGGACCAACACUGACGCUGAGGUGCGAAAGCGUGGGGAGCAAACAGG